AUUGAACGCUAGCGGGAUGCUUUACACAUGCAAGUCGAACGGCAGCGCGGACUUCGGUCUGGCGGCGAGUGGCGAACGGGUGAGUAAUGUAUCGGAACGUGCCCAGUAGCGGGGGAUAACUACGCGAAAGCGUAGCUAAUACCGCAUACGCCCUACGGGGGAAAGCAGGGGAUCGUAAGACCUUGCACUAUUGGAGCGGCCGAUAUCGGAUUAGCUAGUUGGUGAGGUAACGGCUCACCAAGGCGACGAUCCGUAGCUGGUUUGAGAGGACGACCAGCCACACUGGGACUGAGACACGGCCCAGACUCCUACGGGAGGCAGCAGUGGGGAAUUUUGGACAAUGGGGGCAACCCUGAUCCAGCCAUCCCGCGUGUGCGAUGAAGGCCUUCGGGUUGUAAAGCACUUUUGUCAGGAAAGAAACGUCGCGGGCUAAUACCCCGUGGAACUGACGGUACCUGCAGAAUAAGCACCGGCUAACUACGUG
rnacentral:rRNA from 1 species